rnacentral:lncRNA from 1 species
UGGCCCUCGUGUGGACCCAUACCGUCCUGUGCGCUUACCAAUGCAGAAGCUGCCCACCCGACCAACUUACCCUGGAGUGCUGCCCACAACCAUGACUGGCGUCAUGGGUUUAGAACCCUCCUCUUAUAAGACCUCUGUGUACCGGCAGCAGCAACCUGCGGUGCCCCAAGGACAGCGCCUUCGCCAACAGCUCCAGGCAAAGAUA